rnacentral:piRNA from 1 species
UGUCUAUUUAAUCUGGUGGCCAAUGUC